CACGUAGGUGGUUUGGUAAGCGGAAUGUGAAAGCCCAGGGCUCAACCUUGGAACUGCAUUCCGAACUGUCAGGCUAGAGUAUGGUAGAGGUAAGCGGAAUUUCCUGUGUAGCGGUGAAAUGCGUAGAUAUAGGAAGGAACAUCAGUUGCGAAGGCGGCUUACUGGACCAAUACUGACACUGAGGUGCGAAAGCGUGGGUAGCGAACA
rnacentral:rRNA from 1 species